rnacentral:lncRNA from 1 species
AUUCAUCCGCUCUUGCCAGUGACAUGUCUGAUGAUUUUAUAGAAAUGGUUUCAAAAAUCUCUGAGUUACAUCAUCCAAAUGUGACAGAGCUCAUGGGCUAUUGCUCAGAGCACGGGCAGCACCUCCUGGUCUAUGAGUUCCAUAAAAAUGGAUCACUGCAUGACUUCCUGCAUUUGUCAGAUGAAGACAGCAGGCCUUUGAUAUGGAACUCCCGUGUCAAGAUAGCUUUGGGGACUGCACGUGCAUUAGAGUAAGUCAAAACACACACACACACACACACACACACACAUGUUCUCAUAUUAUCUUUCCCUGACCCGUCGCUCACCCACUCACUCAACACAUUCUGUUCUUUCUAGCUAUUUCGUACUUCGCUAAUUCUAACACUCAACUACUACUAUUAUUAAUAACAAGCAAUGAGUGACUUCAGUACUAAUAUUUCUGGUUGAUGUGAACAUAGUAUUCUUUAUAAGUGCAGCACACUUGCACAAAAUAUUUGUUAAAAGUUCAUUAUUGGAAUUCAGAAGCUGCUUAUUUCUUAUUAGUCUGAGAUAUUGGAAUUAGAAUUUUAGGAACCCAGAUAUUACAAAUUAUGCUUCCCUCUAUGAUGAAUGGCCUUCCUGGUACUGAAGAAGGGAUGUUUUCAGGUACCUGCAUGAAGUAUGCUCACCAUCUAUUAUUCAUAAAAAUAUGAAGUCAGCAAACAUAUUACUGGAUGCUGAGCUCAAUCCUCACCUUUCAGACUCUGGCCUUGCAAGCUUUCUUCCAAAUGCAGAUCAGGUGAUUUUGAAUAUCUUCCAAAUUUUGUUGGUAAUCUAAUGACUGGCUUUAUUUAAUGUGGAAAAGUAGGUUUUCUUGAGUAUCGUAUAAUUACCUUACUUGAUUCCUAUAAUAUGAGUUUGCAUGUACAUGUUAACUUUUUUUUUAUCCGGGAGAUAAACUUCUGCAUGGCUGAUCCUUUUCUGCAUUAUUUUAGUUUGACAGAAGAACAGAUGUCUUGUGGUAUAUGCUGAAAUUUUUAAGUUUCUUUUCAUGUGCAGGCACUGAACAAUGAUUCAGCAUCUGGAUAUGGUGCACCUGAGGUAGCCAUGUCUGGUCAAUAUACUCUCAAGAGUGAUGUUUACAGUUUUGGAGUUGUCAUGUUAGAGCUUCUCACUGGACGAAAACCAUUUGACAGGUGAAAUGUUGAAAUCGUAUAACAUGAUCCGUUGUUAUCUCACCCUGUCUCCCUUUUGCUCUCUUAGUUUGACAGGAACCACGCCAUUAGUACUUUCAUUAUCAUGUUAAUCAUAACUUAGAAAUAAAUUGAGUUAGUUUCUGAUCAUACCAUACAAAACAUCUUUCAGCUCAAGGCCAAGAUCCGAGCAAUCAUUGGUUCGAUGGGCCACACCUCAGCUCCAUGAUAUUGAUGCACUGGCUAAAAUGGUUGACCCAGCUCUCAAAGGGCUCUACCCUGUCAAAUCUCUUUCCCGAUUUGCUGAUGUUAUUGCCCU